rnacentral:tRNA from 1 species
AAACAGGAAUGCGUUUUUGCAUUAGAAUUUAAGUUUCUAUUUUGAGUGUUCUCUCUUGUUUU